ANUAAGNGUCAAGCAGGCNGUAACCCUUCGCUUAACCGAACAUACUCUGAACAUGGGCCUANUGGCCAGUAAGACCCUGUCCUCCUAUAUUCAGCUCUGGUUUAUGGCAGCNCGNAGGACUAGGUAAUGAUUAAUAGGGAUAGUUGGGGGGCCUUAAUAUUUAAUUGUCCGAGGUGAAAUUCUGGAUUUAUGAAAGAUUAACUUCUGCGAAAGCAUCUGCCAAGGGAUGUUUUCACUUAAUCAAGAACGCAAAGUUAGGGGAUCGCAAGAACGCAUCAGAUACCGUCGUAGUCUUAACCAUAAACGAUGCCGCACCAGCGAUUAGGAGACGUUGAAUACACAAACACCACCAUCGGUGUCGGUCGUCCUUGGCGUCUNGGUCCGUUCACGGGGCCGAGGCGC
rnacentral:rRNA from 1 species